CUCAUUAAAUCAGUUAUCGUUUAUUUGAUAGUACCUUACUACUUGGAUAACCGUGGUAAUUCUAGAGCUAAUACAUGCUAAAAACCCCGACUUCGGGAGGGGUGUAUUUAUUAGAUAAAAAACCAAUGCCCUCCGGGGCUCCUUGGUGAAUCAUGAUAACUUAACGAAUCGCAUGGCCUUGCGCCGGCGAUGGUUCAUUCAAAUUUCUGCCCUAUCAACUUUCGAUGGUAGGAUAGUGGCCUACCAUGGUAUCAACGGGUAACGGGGAAUUAGGGUUCUAUUCCGGAGAGGGAGCCUGAGAAACGGCUACCACAUCCAAGGAAGGCAGCAGGCGCGCAAAUUACCCAAUCCCGACACGGGGAGGUAGUGACAAUAAAUACUGAUACAGGGCUCUUUUGGGUCUUGUAAUUGGAAUGAGUACAAUUUAAAUACCUUAACGAGGAACAAUUGGAGGGCAAGUCUGGUGCCAGCAGCCGCGGUAAUUCCAGCUCCAAUAGCGUAUAUUAAAGUUGUUGCAGUUAAAAAGCUCGUAGUUGAACCUUGGGCCUGGCUGGCCGGUCCGCCUCACCGCGUGUACUGGUCCGGCCGGGCCUUUCCUUCUGGGGAUCCCCAUGCCCUUCACUGGGUGUGGCGGGGAACCAGGACUUUUACUUUGAAAAAAUUAGAGUGUUCAAAGCAGGCCUUUGCUCGAAUACAUUAGCAUGGAAUAAUAGAAUAGGACGUGCGGUCCUAUUUUGUUGGUUUCUAGGACCGCCGUAAUGAUUAAUAGGGAUAGUCGGGGGCAUCAGUAUUCAAUUGUCAGAGGUGAAAUUCUUGGAUUUAUUGAAGACUAACUACUGCGAAAGCAUUUGCCAAGGAUGUUUUCAUUAAUCAGUGAACGAAAGUUAGGGGAUCGAAGACGAUCAGAUACCGUCGUAGUCUUAACCGUAAACUAUGCCGACUAGGGAUCGGGCGAAGUUAUUAUUUUGACUCGCUCGGCACUUUACGAGAAAUCAAAGUCU
rnacentral:rRNA from 1 species